rnacentral:rRNA from 1 species
GACGUAGGUGGCGAACGUUAUCCGGAAUUAUUGGGCGUAAAGGAUGCGUAGAUGGUGUAGUAAGUUAUCGGUGGCAAAUCGAGGCUCAACCUCGUGGAAGUCGGUAAUACUGCUAUGCUAGAGGAUAGGAGAGGUUAACGGAACUCCCUGUGGAGCGGUGAAAUGCGUAGAUAUAGGAAGAACACCAAUCAGGCGAAGGCAGUUAACUAUUCUAUUCCUGACAUUGAGGCAUGAAAGCGUGGGGAGCAAAACGG